AUGCUUGCUUCAGCAGCACAUGUACUAAAAUUUGAAUAAUGCAGAGAAAGUUAGCAUGGCCUAUGCACAAGGGUGAUGUGCAAAUUUGUGAAGCAUUUCAUUAAAAA
rnacentral:snRNA from 1 species